rnacentral:rRNA from 1 species
CCUACGGGGGGCAGCAGUGAGGAAUAUUGGUCAAUGGCCGCAAGUCUGAACCAGCCAAGUCGCGUGAGGGAAGACGGCCCUAUGAGUUGUAAACCGCUUUUGUAAGGGAGUAAAAGAAGCUACGCGUAGCGGUCUGAAAGUACCGUAAGAAUAAGCAUCGGCUAACUCCGUGCCAGCAACCGCGGUAAUACGGAGGAUUCAAGCGUUAUCCGGAUUUAUUGGGUUUAAAGGGUGCGUAGGCGGGCGGUUAAGUUAGUGGUGAAAUCGGCGGGGCUAACCUCCGAAGUGCCUCUGAUACUGUUUGUCUAGAGUGUAGGUGAGGUAGGCGGAAUGUGUGGUGUAGCGGUGAAAUGCUUAGAGAUCACACAGAACACCGAUUGCGAAGGCAGCUUACCAGGCCACUUCUGACGCUGAGGCACGAAAGCGUGGGGAGCGAACAGGAUUAGAUACCCGGGUAGUC